AUGCAUACACUGCAUUCAGGGUUGUACAAGUACAUGUUCCAGAAGGAUGAAUACUGCAUCCUGAUCCUGGUCCUAAACAAUGCUGGGAAGACAACCUUCUUUGGACAAUCAAAAACGUGGUUUAACAAAACCUACAAGGGGAUGAAUCUAUCCAAAAUCUACUGUGGGUCUAAACAUUGGCACCGUGGACGUGCGGAAGACUUGUCUCAUGUUCUGGAACUUAGGUGAGCAAGAAGAGCUACAAUCUUUGUGGAACAAGUACUAUGCAAAAUGCCAUGGCAUCAUCUAUGUCAUUGAUUCCACUGAUGGGGAGAGACUUUCAGAAUCCAAAGAGGCAUUUGAAAAGGUGGUUUUGAGUGAAGCACUGGAUGGUAUCCUCAUCCUGGUGUUGGCCAACAAGCAGAAUGUGGAGACCUGCCUCUCCAUUCCUGACAUCAAGACUACAUCAGUGACUGUACUUGCAAGAUUGGCCAACAAGUUUGUCUGCCCCCGGCCUGCACUGCUCUCACAGGCAAAGGAGUUUGAAAGUGCAUCAAAUGGAUGGUGA